GGCUUGCAGAGUUGGCAAUGUCGUCUUCUCUAUGUUAAUGUAGCGCUCUCUCUCUCUCUCUCUGUGCAGUUAUAUGCUACUAGUGUUGACAGAUAAGGCUUUCUCUCUCUAGACAUCACUCUCUCAGCAGUUACGCUGCUGUAAUCCCCUUACCUAAUUUCCCCUCUCCCCCCUCUCUCUCUCAUUAUUCCGUCAUUCAAUUCACCUGCAAUCAUUUCACAUUUCCUUUUGUUCCUGGUUGGAGUAAUUUGAGUAGGCUGUUGGGAUUUCUCCUUUUUCUUUUGAGUUGUGGACCAACGCGAUGCCGUUGGUGAGAGCGGAGGUCAGGAACGAGUACGCGCUUGGAGCGCCUGAGCUGUACAGAGAGGCCAAAAAGGAGGAGCCAAAGGAGAUUCUCGAAGGAGUCGCCGUCGCCGGCCUCGUCGGCGUCUUACGUCAGCUCGGGGAUCUCGCUGAGUUAGUUUCUUUUUAUCUUUUCUGCUUCGUUGAGCCUGCUCCUCGGGUGAUUGGGUUCUAGUGGGGGUGUUAUGUGCUGAUUCGGGAAAUUUGUGUAGUUCGACUGUUCAUUUUUGGGGAAUUAUUGUGUAGGUUCAGGAUUUGGGUUGAGAUGAAACAAUGGGAUGCUAGGUUACAAGUGUUAUACGUUGUGGGAGGGAAAUUUGUUUGAAGUUGGUAAUGAGUUAUAGUAAGUUCAAAAUUUGUGAUAUUGUUGCUGCUGUCAAUUAAAUUAAAUAGGAAAGGUAGUUAUUUCCUUUUAACUGCAGCUUAAUGUGCAGCUUGGUCAAGAUUGCUCUAAGUCAUUUUUUCUGCGGAAUUAGGCUUGCGAGUGUAUCUACAUUUACACGAGUUCCUGGAGACAGAUGUAUAGGUUACGGCGUUAAUUGCAUAUGUCACAUAAAUGCAAAAAAUCGAAUCCACAAGAAUGGAAAGAAAUAAUAAUGUUUAUAUUAUGAACCAGGGGGCUUAGCCCACUGGCCACCGGGUCCUCACUUAAGUGAAGUGACCCGGGUUCGAUCCCUCUUGGGAGCGAAUUUGGAGAUUGGAGAUAUAAGGUGGAUUUUGGUGAAUGGGAGAGAUAAGGUGGUUCUUGGAGUGGAUGGGGAAACUAAUUACUAACAUCUAACAUGACUUUGCCUGAACAAAAAAAAAUAAUGUUUAUAUUAUGAAUAAAUUCCCAAAAGUAUAAUAUGUAAACAAGGAUUUCAGACAAUGCCACAAUUGAUACUGAGACAGCGUCUUUGCAUCUGGUAGGUUUGCAGCAGAAGUUUUUCAUGGGUUGCAGGAAGAAGUGACCAUUACAACUGCUAGAAGCCAUAAGUUGAUGGCACGUGUUCGACGAGUUGAAUCUGCUCUUUCUCCGCUUGAGAAGGCUUUACUGGCUCAAAGGAGUCACUUACACUUUGCCUAUACAGCUGGUAAUCUUAAAUUCCUGGCCUUGCAAUUCCCAUCCUGAUACCCUUUUUUCCAUUUUUAAGUUGUGNAAUAUUUAUAUAUCUCAAUAGCUCAUUUAUAAACUAAAAGUGAUAUUUUAUCAACAUAAAACUUUAAAUCCUUAAUAAGAAUUAUUUAGAAACAUUUCAAUCUCAACAAAACUGUAUAGAUUCAACUUCAACUAAUAAACUGCUUUUACUCCGAACUCGUAUGGAGUCGAAUUUUAUAUCAAUAGAAACCUCUUUGAGUCUAGUUUAAUAGAAAAAAAGUAUGUUGAAAAACUCCAAGUAGUUUAAGAGAUAUAGCGAUUUUCCCAUCGCCUACCAGAUUCGGCAGUUUCUGCCAACUGAAAGUCCAGAUUUUUGAAAAAUAGCAAACGUUACCUGAAUGAGCUCAAAUUUUAUAUCUAGAUAGCUAACACAUAUAUCUUCAUAGAAUAAAAAUUUGAGAGCUAAAUAUCAACAUAUGGUUACUGAAUAAUUAACUUAAUCAUCUGCCUCACGACAGUUUUAGCAGAUACGGGCAGUAGACUUCUCGAAUUUUAAAAGGGUAGUAAACGAAGUUCAAAUGAUAUGAAACUUUGUACGAAUAUUUACCACACUCCCAUCUAUACCCCAGAAAUUUCUCAUAAUAUAAUAGAAACGGGAAUGCAUCGAAAUAAGGGCGUCAACUUACCCUUGUCCAAGUGAGCACUAAUGGAAGUUGUUCGCCGGGGUUUUUUUCUGGUCGUCGUUCCGCGAUGGGGUUUAGCCGCGAAGGUCUACGACUUAGUUUUCCUCGUGCGAGAUAGAUCAGGCUACACAACGGUGGUUUCUCGAUCCUUUUUCGUCGUAAGGAUAGUGAGAACGAAGGCCGUAAGUUGGCCGGUGGCUAAGUCGGGAAUUCGACGUUGGCCUCCGAAGGAUAUUGUGGCCUUUGGUCGGGAAAAUAUAGAGAAGGUUUCGGCCUUUCGAUUGUUGGGUUUGGUAGCCUAAAGAUGGAGGAACGAGUACACGUUCUCGGUUCAGAGCCUAGUGGCCGGUCGACGAAGAAAUGGUCCGGCGAAGGGAGCUCACUUGAGCUCUUGCAAACAAAUCUCCUAAACUCUCUCUUGCCUCACACCUCUCGCUGCACUUCUUCCUUCUGCAGAACUCUCCUCAAUUUAUAGAGGAGUUUCUGCAGACAACAGAAUCAAAAUGGUGGAAAUUUUGGUACCUGGAGUUGCAACUUUUGAAGAUUUGAUCGUUGAAAUUUACAUCCUUUGACAAUUGUGAUCUUACCGUGAAAUUUCUUUCUCGGCGUGCUGAAGCUUUUGAAAAUUGUGGAUAUUGGCGUGAUUUUCUUCUCCUACAGGAGACUUUGGGGUGUGAUGGAGUUCAAAUAUACUACAGGAAGAAAUCUGCAAUCUUUACAAUCUCCUUCUGCAGUAAUGGUGUAUUGGAGGGGAAGAUGAAUAGUAUAGGGAAUAGUGUAGGGAAUAGUGUAGGAAAUAGUGUAGGAAUUGAUGUGUUGGAUGAAAAAUCGAGACAUACGUGUAGUGCCGUGAUCUAGUUUCUCCUAGUUCCUGUAAUAAUUCUCCAAUUCUCGUUUAAUAAAUACUCGUCGUAUUUAUAUAAAUUAAAUCCUCAAUCUUGAGAUUUAAUACGUGAAAGUCGGAAUUAAUUCGCGACUUAAUACCUUAACUCAUAUAAUGCGAAAUAUAAAAUUAUUAUGCAUAUGAUCUCAAGUUAUAAUUCUAGCAAUUUGAUUUAAAUAACACGAUUUAUAAAAUCGGUUAUAAAUCUAAAUUUUCUAUAUAUUGAUUAAUAUAUGUAAACAAAUUAAGUUUAGAUUACAUUAUAUAAUUUAUGGGUAUUAAUUAAUGAAUUUAAAACUGUAUAUGCAGACUUGCUAAAAAUACUGAACAAUUCAUAAAACAAAACAUUAUACUAGACAAUAUAAAUAUAUCUAUAUAUUAAUGAACGCAUAUUAUGAUUUACUAUUAAGAUAAAAAAAGAUGUAUUAUUGUAUUUGUAUGCACUAGUGAUUAUUAUGUUAGAUAUAAUUUUUUAUAACCAACAAUAAAUCUCACAAGAUCAGUAAUUUAGAUUGAAUUUUACAUGAGAGAAAAAAAAAUUAUGUUUGGAUUCUUUAACAUGGCUGUCCAAAUAUAAUAGUUCAAAUUAAUUUUUGAAAAAGUAGAAGAGUUUAAAUUAAAUAUAGAGCGGCGUGACGAGUCGUUCACGGCGGAUUAAUUAAAUUCCGAAAUUGCCGAAAUGUGAUGGGAGGCACACGUAGACCAGAAGGGUUAAUUCCGUCAUUUGAUCCAAUGGAGGUCAAUUUCACUCAUAAUUUUGAAGCCUAUUUCAGUCAUUCUGUCCCACUGUGCGCGCCCCCACCCCACACCCAGGAAUGGCUUGCAGAGUUGGCAAUGUCGUCUUCUCUAUGUUAAUUUAGCGCUCUCUCUCUCUCUCUCUGUGCAGUUAUAUGCUACUAGUGUUGACAGAUAAGGCUUUCUCUCUCUAGACAUCACUCUCUCAGCAGUUACGCUGCUGUAAUCCCCUUACCUAAUUUCCCCUCUCCCCCCUCUCUCUCUCAUUAUUCCGUCAUUCAAUUCACCUGCAAUCAUUUCACAUUUCCUUUUUGUUCCUGGUUGGAGAAUUUGAGAGGCUGUUGGGAUUUCUCCUUUUUCUUUUGAGUUGUGGACCAACGCGAUGCCGUUGGUGAGAGCGGAGGUCAGGAACGAGUACGCGCUUGGAGCGCCUGAG
rnacentral:lncRNA from 1 species